CACAAUCUUUCUCUUUUUAUUUUUAUUCUUUUUUUCAUUUCAAUGGCAAAAAUGCAUAGGAGGAGCUGAGAAGUGUGCAGGGAAAUUUACAUGCAAUAUGGAACCACACAAGCCAAUGUACAUCAUAGUUUAAUACUAGGCAGGUUCCUUACCCAAAGCAUUGACCUAUUAACAUUUUUCUGGUUAAGGAAGUUUCUUCUUGAGUGCAUAUCCUCUGCUCCUGCAGCCAAAGUGAGCAGCUGAGGACAUUUGAGCUCACAGUACUACUACAAUUCACAAAUCGAGUUUGGGAAAUCAGCUUCAAAUUUGCAUUUUCUGCAAUGUUAUUGAGAGGACUGAAAAGCACAGUGUACUCUGGAGCCACAGUUUCAUCUGAUCUGGAGAUUUACCUUGUCAGAAAGCAGAGAGAUGAAGGGAGGAAGCAGGGGCUCAGCUUCUUGAUGACACCAGAUGUUUAAUUUAGUUUAUCUCAUUUUAGGGAGCUUUAAUGGUAAUACAAGUUCUUUCCUGUGAAUCGUAAGAUAAAAGCGGUCUCUGGCCUGGCAAGCCAAAAAUCUACUAAGGAAACAGUAAGAAAAGGGAGAGGACUCCAGGAAGGUGAAACAUUCUUCUGCUGCAUUGUAGCUUAUUUGCAUUUGUCCAAAUUAUCACUCUUGGAGCACACUCUGAAACUCGGCUCCUUGUGGAAGGGAAACCAGGCAUGAGAGGAGUGUAAAAACCUGUCCUGAUAACCAGGACAUUUAGUCGUU
rnacentral:lncRNA from 7 species